rnacentral:rRNA from 1 species
UACGAAGGGGGCUAGCGUUGUUCGGAAUUACUGGGCGUAAAGCGCACGUAGGCGGCUUUGUAAGUUAGAGGUGAAAGCCCAGGGCUUAACCCUGGAAUUGCCUUUAAGACUGCAUCGCUAGAAUCGUGGAGAGGUGAGUGGAAUUCCGAGUGUAGAGGUGAAAUUCGUAGAUAUUCGGAAGAACACCAGUGGCGAAGGCGACUCACUGGACACGUAUUGACGCUGAGGUGCG